rnacentral:rRNA from 1 species
GGCCUAACACAUGCAAGUCGAACGGUAACAGGUCUUCGGAUGCUGACUAGUGGCGAACGGGUGAGUAAUACAUCGGAACGUGCCCGAUCGUGGGGGAUAACGCAGCGAAUGCUGUGCUAAUACCGCAUACGUAUCUACAGAUGACAGCGGGGGAUCGCAGGACCUCGCGCGGACGGAGCGGCCGAUGGCAGAUUAGGUACUUGGUGGGGUAAAGGCUCACCAAGCCUUCGAUCUGUAGCUGGUCUGAGAGGACGACCAGCCUCACUGGGACUGACACACAGCCCAGACUCCUACGGGAGGCAGCAGUGGGGAAUUUUGGACAAUGGGCGCAAGCCUGAUCCAGCCAUGCCGCGUGCAGGAUGAAGGCCUUCGGGUUGAAGACUGCUUUUGUACUGAACGAUGAUGUCUUUUUUAAUAAUGAGGGCCCAUGACUGUACCGUAAGAAUAAGCACCGGCUAACUACGUGCCACCAGCCGCGGUAAUACCUAGGGUGCAUGCGUUAUUCGUAAUUACUGGGCGUACAGCGUGCGCAAGCGGUAAUGUAAGACAGAUG